GAUGAACGCUAGCUACAGGCUUAACACAUGCAAGUCGAGGGGUCUCGCGGGAGCUUGCUUCCAAGAGACGACCGGCGCACGGGUGAGUAACGCGUAUCCAACCUGCCCUUCAUAUUGGGAUAGCCUUCCGAAAGGAAGAUUAAUACCGAAUAACAUGAGAAAGUUGCCUGAUUCUCUCAUGAAAGCUCCGGCGAUGAAGGAUGGGGAUGCGUUCCAUUAGGUAGUAGGCGGGGUAACGGCCCACCUAGCCUACGAUGGAUAGGGGUUCUGAGAGGAAGGUCCCCCACACUGGGACUGAGACACGGUCCAGACUCCUACGGGAGGCAGCAGUGAGGAAUAUUGGUCAAUGGGCGCAAGCCUGAACCAGCCAAGUAGCGUGAAGGAUGACUGCCCUAUGGGUUGUAAACUUCUUUUAUACGGGAACAAACCUUGGUACGCGUACCAAAUUGCGUGUACCGUAUGAAUAAGCAUCGGCUAACUCCGUGCCAGCAGCCGCCGUAAUAC
rnacentral:rRNA from 1 species